AUCAGAGUAACAUUACCGGGCACUCUGGUGAAACUAAAAUCAAUACCUUAAGUUAUUUAUGUGUUGAGUUAAGAACAUCAUUUUUUAAAUAUCUUAUUACAACACAGUGGUGGUAGUUAUCGACUGGAACACCAGGAACAUGGCAGUCAUGUCGUCAGGUCUGAGUCACCUGAUAUUUACGCCUGAAUGCACAAUCGUUGGUAUCAAAUGACUGUUCAGACCGAGCUGGUAUUCAUGAUCCUGUUUCGUCGAACGCUGCAUUGUUAACUUCGCUGUGUAAACGGACGGAUGACUAUCGAUGGAUGAGGGACAUAUUAUAUCACCGAACUAACAUAUCAUAUUCUGAACUCCAGCCGGACAUACAGACAUACACCUUACACUAACAGACACAAUGUUGAGGGCUCUCCUUGUUUUGCUGACAUUUACAUUGUGCCAAGGAAAUGAACAGACUUGUGCCUUGCAUUUUGACAUGCAAUAUGGAGGUUUGUUUGCUGACUGUACUGGAAGAAAACUUCAACAUGUUCCAGACUACCUUCCGGAAAAUAUAACAGCUCUGGAUAUGAGUGAAAAUGAUCU